rnacentral:rRNA from 1 species
AGAGAGAGACAUGCGCGCAUAUCAAUAAGCGGAGGAAAAGAAACUAACAAGGAUUCCCUUAGUAACGGCGAGUGAAGCGGGAAGAGCUCAAAUUUGAAAUCUUCAAGGUUUCUACCUUGACGAAUUGUAGUUUAAAGAAGUGUUUUCUGCUGAAGUUUUGGUAAAAGUUCUUUGGAAUAGGACAUCAUAGAGGGUGAGAAUCCCGUAUUUGACCAUUAUUUUCAGCUUUGUGAUACACUUUCAAAGAGUCGGAUUGUUUGGGAAUGCAGUCCAAAAUGGGUGGUAAAUUUCAUCUAAAGCUAAAUAUUGGCGAGAGACCGAUAACGAACAAGUACCGUGAGGGAAAGAUGAAAAAGAACUUUGAAAAGAGAGUUAAACAGUACGUGAAAUUGUCAAAAGGGAAGCGUUUGACACCAGUGUUGUUUUCUCGAAAAUCAAUUAAAAAUGGCUCGAUUUUGUAUUGCUUGAGACCUUAAAAGCUCACUGUACAUUUUUCGUGUCUUUUUUAAUGCACUUUUCGUUUAACAAGUCAACAUCAGUUUCUUUUGUUGUAAAAGGGUCAUUGGAAGGUGGCUUUCUUUUCGGAGAAAGUGUUUAUAGCCUUUGGCCUCUGCAAUCGGAGAGACUGAGGUCUGCAGCGUAGACUCUUCGGGGUUAGAUACAUUUGUGCUAAGUUAUAGCUUUUUAUAGACAACUUGUUGACUAUAAUUAGUCUUGUAGCUUACUCGCUUAUGCUAUUUUACCUACGCUUAGGAUGUUGAGUCGUAGAGCACGCAG